rnacentral:misc_RNA from 1 species
GAUGAAGAACGCAGCGAAAUGCGAUAACUAGUGUGAAUUGCAGAAUUCCGUGAAUCAUCGAGUCUUUGAACGCACAUUGCGCCCCCUGGUAUUCCGGGGGGCAUGCCUGUCCGAGCGUCAUUGCUGCCCAUCAAGCACGGCUUGUGUGUUGGGUCGUCGUCCCCUCUCCGGGGGGGACGGGCCCCAAAGGCAGCGGCGGCACCGCGUCCGAUCCUCGAGCGUAUGGGGCUUUGUCACCCGCUCUGUAGGCCCGGCCGGCGCUUGCCGAACGCAAAUCAAUCUUUUCCAGGUUGACCUCGGAUCAGGUAGGGAUACCCGCUGAACUUAAGCAUAUCAAUAAGCGGAGGA